GGUCAUCAGGCUGGGAGACUGACACACAGGAGAGAAGUAGAAACUGCAGGAGGGGUAGUGAAUCUGUCUCCCAGCCAGAGAUGUAGUUGGUUGGCCUGAGGGGAACUUACAAAGAUAGACUGUGCCAUUCCCAGCGAAGUUAUCACCAGCCCUGCGGGUCAACCCUACUGGAGAAACAGAAGAUGUCUAAACAAAACCAAGGACAUUGGCCGUCUGUUUCUUGAGGUUAUUCAGAAUGUUACUACUGGUGCACAUGGGCUGACACAGACCACUGAUGAUGAACUAUACCAAGAGAAGAAAAUACAGACUUCAGGUGGCAGAUCCUCCUCAGCACCGGAACGUGCAACUGCAGAAGGAACAAUUUUGAUAACAAGAAAUGGCCAUAGGCUCAGGAAGCCACUGGGGUUGGAGAAGUUCCAAAAAGCAUCUUAGCGAUCACUGUGACACUAUACAUUGUAAGAAAAGAAGCCCUUCAGUGGUAUUUGUGUGUGGCGAGAGUGAGUGUUCAUGGCCCUGCUGCUGACUGGCUGCUAUGAAGACAUAUUUUCCAAUACAGACAAUUCCCACUGGACAGAUGUGCAUCCUGGUCAUCCGUUUCCUCCAGUGCAGCUGUCUGCAUCUGUGCUCUGCACAUUUUGCAACGCAUCCAAGGCCAUGCACUCUUGACAAAGUGUGCAUCAGAUUGAUGAAUGAAAAAGCUGGUCAGAAAUCCCCACUCCAAGCCCCAAGGCAAAAACUGGGAGUUUGGGGUCCAAAACUUGUCAAUGGAAGCUCAACAUUUUCCAUAGGAAGUAGACAUGUUUUAUGAGAAAAAUCACUGUGUCAAAACCCAAUUUUCCAUAGGACAUCAACUUAGACAAAAGAUUUUUGACCAGUCCUAAUGCAUGUUCUAUCAAACUAUGAAACUGCUGUGUUUGUGUAUGUGUUCAAUACACACGUGUUUACACAUCAAAAUAUACAAGAGUUUUGUAUUCUCAUAGUAACAUCUUCAAAAGCUCCACAGUCCCUAUAAUGCAGCCCUCAAAACCUAUCAAAGGGAUUUGUACUCAUUGGUCACACCUGCAGGAGUGAAAAUUGAUGUUUCUGUGGCCUAGUCUACAGUGGAGUUGUUGCACUAGCGCAGUCCCCUCACAGAGACAUACUUCAUUAGUGUAAACAGGAGUGCAUUCAACUGGGGUAAGCCAUAUGGCCUCUAAUUAGUUUGCAUGCAUGCAGCCCCAUCUCCACUAGGGAUUUGCACUGGUUUAGCUGCAUUGGGCGCUAAAAUCCCUAGGGUAGACAAGUCCUAAAUUAAUCUGUUUUGGGAAUGUGAUGAGGCAAGGAAGUUUUUUGCAAAUCUAUGAAAAGUGAAGGAUGGAAGCUUUUAAGUGAAGCUCCUGUGAGCUGUGUGACUUUCUAGAAAAAUCCGACCUUGGGAUGGAUGAGCUGUGCUUGGAUCAGUCUGUUUCUGGUAAAGCUGUGGGUGGCAGGGCUAUCUGAAAACUGGGUGUAGAAUGAGAAGCUAGCUACUAGCACCCCUUUGUAUUAUUUACUUCACAAGGAUGGUGUGAGAAUGUUAGAUGAAAGAUGCUGUACAAGUGUGGACUAGUCUCAUUGUUAAUAGUUAUUAGUAAAAUCUGUAAAGA